AGCGAACGCUGGCGGCAGGGCUAACACAUGCCAGUCGAACGAACCUUUCGGGGUUAGUGGCGGACGGGUGAGUAACACGUGGGAACGUGCCUUUAGGUUCGGAAUAACUCAGGGAAACUUGUGCUAAUACCGAAUGUGCCCUUCGGGGGAAAGAUUUAUCGCCUUUAGAGCGGCCCGCGUCUGAUUAGCUAGUUGGUUGAGGUAAUGGCUCACCAAGGCGACGAUCAGUAGCUGGUCUGAGAGGAUGAUCAGCCACAUUGGGACUGAGACACGGCCCAAACUCCUACGGGAGGCAGCAGUGGGGAAUCUUGCGCAAUGGGCGAAAGCCUGACGCAGCCAUGCCGCGUGAAUGAUGAAGGUCUUAGGAUUGUAAAAUUCUUUCACCGGGGACGAUAAUGACGGUACCCGGAGAAGAAGCCCCGGCUAACUUCGUG
rnacentral:rRNA from 1 species